GCGCCGACUCAAAAGCGAAAAAGUCUUUUCUCUGCCUUCGACCUAGACGACAGGGGUUGAGUUUUGUCUUCAGGUCCUGCUUUGUUGUGGGGUUCUUGUUCGUUCCUGAGAGACUUUCCCGAGAGAACUCAGGAGAAAAUUUGAAAGUAAAACAGAGCUUGAGAUUGAAAGUGGAGGAAACCGUAAUGGUAGAGAUCUGUACCUCGGUCCUCGAAGAAAUCUUUCAUGGCUUGUGAUUAAGUUAGGGAGCUGUGCUUCAAUCGGUCUUACCUACCUGGGUGCCUGUGAUUCCUCAACAGCCAAGUUCUUCCAUGUGAUCACGGACGAAUAGUAGGAUUUUUAAUCCAUACGAUGUAAUUCCUGCUGGCUCUGAAGUGCUGGUGCAAAAAUGCACUCACUGCGUAGCCAUUUCCUGGAAAUGAGAUGUUGGGACCUGAAGUUACAUGUUAAACGAUCAACCGGGAAUGGUGUUGGGCUUGGUUUGGUCUAGAGCCGGGCUGGUGGUGUUUGAAGUCAUAUUGGUGGGAGGAGAGUCAAGAGUAUGGAUGCUGAAAUACUAGAUAUGUGAGCUCUGAAGAAACUGUGUUUUGUAGUAAAUUAUAUAUAUAUAUAUUCCUCACCCCCAAGUUUUGAAUUGAUCUGUGGAGUUUUGAAGAUAAUGUCUGGAAGUUUAAUAAAUUCAGGAGUAAUUUUAUCUUUUUAAUAA